UACAGAGGGUGCGAGCGUUAAUCGGAAUUACUGGGCGUAAAGCGUGCGUAGACGGUUAUGUAAGUCGGGUGUGAAAGCCCCGGGCUCAACCUGGGAAUUGCAUUCGAGACUGCAUAGCUAGGAUGCGGAAGAGGGAAGCGGAAUUUCCGGUGUAGCGGUGAAAUGCGUAGAUAUCUGGAGGAACACCGGUGGCGAAGGCGGCAUCCUGGACCGGCAUUGACGCUGAGGCGCGAAAGCCAGGGGAGCAAACGGG
rnacentral:rRNA from 1 species